rnacentral:lncRNA from 1 species
GUGUUGGAUAAAAAGCGAAGUUAUGGAGCCGAAAUGAAGUACUUGGGGAAAUUAUCUUUGAAGGAAAAGUUACCAAGAACCAGGCGCAACAGGAUUGUUCAAGGAUACAGAAAAUUACUUACUGUAUUACUACCACCACUUAGAUGAUUGCCGACAUCUGUCAAAAAAUGAAACAUUUCAGGAGCUCUAAAGAAUUGUGAAUUUAACUUAAUCAUAAUGCAUCUGAAUGGACAUAUAUUUGAUAUUUGUUCAGUGGUAUUCAGAUGCAGACGAUGGUGCAGAAUACUGUGAUUGUAAUGCUAAGGACUGCUUCAUGAGAAGUUGAUUCAUGAGAUUAUUCCGAAUACAUUUACAGACAUAUGUCAUUUAGUGCAAACAUUUUGUAGUGAGUUACACAGGAUUAUGUCUUCCAUGAUUUAUUUGCAUUAAUAUGCAGAAGAAAAAAACAGUGAUCAUAAGAUGCAUAGUUUUAUUCAAAAUCAGAGACAUUUUCUUACUGUCACAAAGUUGUUACAUUUGAAAUUAUUUUCAUGUUAUUUUUUUUGAAGGCAUCGUUUAUAGACAUAUCUUUGGUACUUUAAAAGACAAUGACUUGAAAUUAAAAAUGUGUCUUUAUAAUCAUCAUCUGCGUGUGUAGUUACAAUCACAAUAAUUCUAAUUGUAUUUCUUGGCAGAGUUAUGCCCCUUUCAUACUUAAAAUCAAAAUUAAAAAUAAAGAAUGUCAGUA